GCGCUCGUAGCUCAACUGGAUAGAGCGACAGACUUCGGAUCUGUAGGUUAUGGGUUCGAUUCCUAUCGGGCGUA
rnacentral:tRNA from 1 species